GGGGAAGGGAUCUGAGUUUGCGCAAUGAGGACAAAGGCAACCGAUAGAACAACGCGUUGGUGCGGAGUGUAGAGAGAUUGGCUUUCGUUCAUGAGAGGAGCGGAAAUUGAUGGGUGGCGAAUAAAUAAAAGGAAACUGGGCAACCUGUGGCUGCAAGAAACACAAGUCGAAAUGUAGUUUUCUAAUGCAGAUUGAGGAAAUGCUCUGAGAUGUCCAUGCGAUGUAAUUGCAAUGAAGAGAGAAGCUUGAAGAGGGCCCCCCGAGAUGGAUGAGGGUGUUGCUGGCCAGGCAGCAUUUGUUACCCAUCCCGAAUUGCCCAGAGGGCAGUUGAGAGUCAACCACAUUGCUGUGGGUCUGGAAUCACAUGUAGGCCAGACCAGAGCAUUAUGAAGCUUUGGAAUUGUCUACCCUCGUGGAUCCCUGUUGAGCAUCAUUUUUGAACAUAUUCAGAACUGAGAUUAUUAAUCUAUCGAAGAAUCAAGGUCUAUGGAAAGUGAACAAGAAUGUGAAAUUGAUGAAGAAGAUCAAGCCUGACUGUACUGAAUGAUGGAGCAGACUUGAGGGACAGAAUAGUCUACUCUUGCUCCAACUUCUUAUAUUCUUAUUCUAUACAACUCAAGCAAGUAACUAGGUUAACUGAGCUCAAGAAUGUAUCCACAGCAGUCCUAAUUUGUAACACUCCCCCAUUCUCUCUGUUCAUGCUAUCAUUCUGUUUCAUUCUUCUUCCACAGAGCAUUCAUACCAAAAUUUUCCCUAUUUCUCCCACACCAAGCACCACUUCCAGCAUAUGCCUCUCUUUAUUUCUGUUUAUUUUUGUUUGCCAUGAUUGCAAUCUACUUCUCCAGUCAGUAUCCUGUUUUUAUUGUAACUCGUUACUUCACACUCAAGAAUAUCUACGAUGAUAUCUACAAAUCAGAGCAAAUGCAUCGAAUGAACAAUUCACAGAUAAUGUGCAAACACACAAUUUAACUCAUGCAUUUUACAUAGCUUUUAUUUUCUGUCAUCUCACUUACUCAUAGUAUUUUUCCCACAGGUUUCGGUAUCUUCCCUGGCCAGACAUAUCAAACACAGUGAAGGACAACCUGAAAUUAUACAAAGUAAUAAAAAAAAAGCAUGAUUACUCUA